UACGGGGGGGGCAAGCGUUGUUCGGAAUUACUGGGCGUAAAGGGCUCGUAGGCGGCCAACUAAGUCAGACGUGAAAUCCCUCGGCUUAACCGGGGAACUGCCUUUGAAACUGUCUGGCUUGAGGCCGGGAGAGGGUAGCGGAAUUCCCAGUGUAGCGGUGAAAUGCGUAGAUACUGGGAGGAACACCGGUGGCGAAGGCGGCUACCUGGACCGGAACUGACGCUGAGGCGCGAAAGCGUGGGUAGCAAACAGG
rnacentral:rRNA from 1 species